GAGUUGUUACGGGAACAUUUGUGAAUGGAGUUUGCUUCCAGAUCAUCCACUUUGCACUCCGUAGUCCAAAACCGCGAAUUGAACCUCCAGCAGCCCCUCCCUGAUCCCCACUUCUCAGACUAAACCCCUGUCCGCAUUCUAAUCCUUGCCGCAGCCGGGUGACUUUGCACACCCACCUGGCCUCCUACAGCAUUUUCCUGAUGUGUAAGAGGGAUUCACAAUGGUGGCUCUAUGGGGCAGUGAAGGAAAUUCACGGAUCGCUCCGGGCAGAGGGUCUGCAAAACAUCAAUUCUCCACAGAAGGUCAAGCCAACCUCCCUGCCACGCAGACCCUGCAGGACGGAGUCACACUGCCCUGAGAGUGUCCGAGGCUGUUUGCGAGUGUCGAAAGCCUGCUCUUUCUCCCAAGGAGCUGCCGGUGGUUUUGAACUGCAGCCCUGCCCAAGCCCACAAGGGCUCCCCUCCACAGAAGUUAGGCGUUCUUACUGUGUUAUAAUUCCGAUGACAAGCACACUGCCUUCUGGUAAGCCCCAGGACACCAGUUCAGCGAAGCCCAUCAUUUCUCAAGAGGCUGCCACCUACUGCUAAGAACUGGAAUUGCAGCUGCUGGAAAGCUCGGUGUGAUUCAACUGCUGCGGGACUCAAACCUCCAGCCUGUGAGCUGGCAGCCAAGUCAGCUGACUGUGAGCACCACCCAGCAAGACACCCGUAAUGGUGUCAAGAGAGGUUCUGGACCCAGACGUGGGAUUCAGACUCCCCAGGCCUUUUCUUGGACCUGCCCUGAUCUGAGGUGACCUGGGCUCCCGAAUGGUGGCCAGCAGGGCCCUGUGUGGCUAGCUCAAGAUAGCAUCUUCGGGGCGGGGUCUGGAGGCUCCAAUGGAGGCAAGUUGGGCUGGCCUCGGUAGCUACACUGGAGGAUGCACCAGCUUCAACGUCAACUUACACACGAGGAAGAAGAGCGGAUGCCUGUGGAUGGCAGUGUUGGCGAAGGCCAUCGAGUGGACCACAGACCUUGGGAGGCAGAAUGAAUUUGCUUCGGAGGAAGCCAAGCCACCUGCUCCUUAGCAGUGCCGAUGGCAAGAGUUUGUCUCACUCACCUUGACCACGUCGUCAAGGGUACCCGCCCCCUGAGCAGGACUGCAUGCUUAGUAAAGUCGAGGGACAGGCAUUAAAAAAAAAAGAAACACCUGCCACGAAUGGAUCCACACGUGGUUGCUAAGAUCAUGGCC